CCAGCUGGGUGGGAGGGGCACUCAACAAAGGAAUAAUAGCAUCUGCCAGCACUUCUGUCCUUGGAGAGAUCUGCCCUGACCCUUGCCCCUCCAACCCUCACCCAAAGCUAGUCAAUUCAAUUACUUUCCAUGUGUUCCUGGUGCCCUUUGUGCUGCCGCCCUGCCCUGGUGCCCAGAGUGAGUUUGUGAGUGAGCGAGUCUUUGUGGGGGCCCUCAAGUAGGAUGGGUGGGACUUUAGCAGUCCUCCAUCUGGGAUGCAGUCUCUGUUGGUUUUCAUGGAGACUCCUUUUCCUGGCACCUGUGCCCUGGACUGUGGAGCCCAUUACCGGUCUGGGGCACUUGCCUAAUGACCAGGGAGGUGGGUGAGGAGGCAGGAGUCUCUGCAGCUGGGCUAUUCCUCCUGAUUCUUAAUCACCCCACCAUGGGUGUGGGACCAGGCCACUCUGCAUCUCUACCCCUCCUACGAGACUGGUUGUGGCUGCUUCUUUAUAUCCUUAAUUAUAGAACUUCUAAUCAGGUGGUUUUCAGUGAUGGUUGUUCUGUAAUUUAGUUGUAAUGGUGAUGUGUUUGUGGGAGGAGGUGAGCUCAGCGUUUACCUGUUCCACCACCUGGACCGGAAGUGCUUCUGAUUUUCGUAGUGACCUCUUUAGAAGAGCAAACAUGUUAAAUUUUGAUGUGGCCCAGUUUAUCAUUUUUCCCUUAAAUUUCAUAGUUUGUGUCCUAUUGAUAUGUCUACCUCAGUGUUAUAAAAGAUUUUACCCUGUUUUCUUCUAGCUAUUUUAUAGUUUACAUUUUUAUGUUUAGGUCUAUGAUUUAUUUCAAAUCAAUGUUUGUGUUAAGUGUGAGAUUAACUUUUCUUAUUUUUGUAAGUGGGUAUUCCAAUUGUUUCAGCAGCAUUUGAGAAAUCUUUUUUUAAAUUGGGUUAUCUUGGCACCCUUGUUGAAGAUUAGUUGCCUUUAUAUCGCUAGUUAUCCUAGACUUCCUACAAUUUACUGAUCUGUAUGCCUGUCCUUGUGCCAGUUACCUCAGUGCCUCAAUUAUUGUAGCUUUAGAGUAUUUCUUGAUACCAGGUAGUAUAAAUCGUCUUAGUUCUUUUUCAAAACUAUUGAGCAAUUUUUGGUCCUUAGCAUUUCAACACAUAAUUUUAGAAUAAUUUUCUCCAUUUCUACAGAACAAUGUGCCAGGAUGUUUGUAAGUGUGUGUGUGUGUGUGUGUGUGUA